rnacentral:rRNA from 1 species
UAACACGUGAGCAACCUGCCCCGAAGACUGGGAUAACAGCGGGAAACCGCUGCUAAUACCGGAUGUCCCCAUCGGACCACAUGGACUGAUGAGGAAAUGGAUUCCGCUUCGGGAGGGGCUCGCGGCCUAUCAGCUUGUUGGUGAGGUAACGGCCCACCAAGGCGACGACGGGUAGCUGGUCUGAGAGGACGAUCAGCCACACUGGGACUGAGACACGGCCCAG